UUAAUACAAGAUGGCAUCAUGAGUCCACAUGUUCACAUGAUUAAAGGUAUUCCGGUAGACGAUGGGGAUGCGUUCCAUUAGAUAGUAGGCGGGGUAACGGCCCACCUAGUCUUCGAUGGAUAGGGGUUCUGAGAGGAAGGUCCCCCACAUUGGAACUGAGACACGGUCCAAACUCCUACGGGAGGCAGCAGUGAGGAAUAUUGGUCAAUGGGCGAGAGCCUGAACCAGCCAAGUAGCGUGAAGGAUGACUGCCCUAUGGGUUGUAAACUUCUUUUAUAAAGGAAUAAAGUCGGGUAUGCAUACCCGUUUGCAUGUACUUUAUGAAUAAGGAUCGGCUAACUCCGUGCCAGCAGCCGCGGUAAUACGGAGGAUCCGAGCGUUAUCCGGAUUUAUUGGGUUUAAAGGGAGCGUAGAUGGAUGUUUAAGUCAGUUGUGAAAGUUUGCGGCUCAACCGUAAAAUUGCAGUUGAUACUGGAUAUCUUGAGUGCAGUUGAGGCAGGCGGAAUUCGUGGUGUAGCGGUGAAAUGCUUAGAUAUCACGAAGAACUCCGAUUGCGAAGGCAGCCUGCUAAGCUGCAACUGACAUUGAGGCUCGAAAGUGUGGGUAUCAAACAGGAUUAGAUACCCUGGUAGUCCACACGGUAAACGAUGAAUACUCGCUGUUUGCGAUAUACGGCAAGCGGCCAAGCGAAAGCGUUAAGUAUUCCACCUGGGGAGUACGCCGGCAACGGUGAAACUCAAAGGAAUUGACGGGGGCCCGCACAAGCGGAGGAACAUGUGGUUUAAUUCGAUGAUACGCGAGGAACCUUACCCGGGCUUAAAUUGCAGAUGAAUUACGGUGAAAGCCGUAAGCCGCAAGGCAUCUGUGAAGGUGCUGCAUGGUUGUCGUCAGCUCGUGCCGUGAGGUGUCGGCUUAAGUGCCAUAACGAGCGCAACCCUUGUUGUCAGUUACUAACAGGUCAUGCUGAGGACUCUGACAAGACUGCCAUCGUAAGAUGUGAGGAAGGUGGGGAUGACGUCAAAUCAGCACGGCCCUUACGUCCGGGGCUACACACGUGUUACAAUGGGGGGUACAGAGGGCCGCUACCACGCGAGUGGAUGCCAAU
rnacentral:rRNA from 1 species